GUGUGUGUGUGUGUAUGCCAGUAUGUCUGUGUGUAUGUCAGUAUGUCUGUGUGUGUGUGUGUGUCAGUAUGUCUGUGUGUAUGCCAGUAUGUCAGUGUGUGUGUGUGUGUGUGUAUAUGUCUGUGUGUGUGUGUGUCAGUAUGUCUGUGUGUAUGCCAGUAUGUCAGUGUGUGUGUGUCUGUGUGUGUGUUUCAGUAUGUUUGUGUGUAUGCCAGUAUGUCUGUGUGUGUGUAUGUAGGUAUGUCUCUGUGUGUGUGUGUACGUGUGUGUCAGUAUGUCUGCCAGGAUAUAUUUGUGUGUCAGUGUAUGUGUGUCAGUAUGUAUCUGUGAAUGUUUUAAUGUCUGUCUGUGUGUAUGUGCCAG